GAUGAACGCUGGCGGCGUGCCUAAUACAUGCAAGUCGAGCGAACAGAUGAGGAGCUUGCUCCUCUGACGUUAGCGGCGGACGGGUGAGUAACACGUGGAUAACCUACCUAUAAGACUGGGAUAACUACGGGAAACCGGAGCUAAUACCGGAUAAUAUAUUGAACCGCAUGGUUCAAUAGCGAAAGACGGUUUUGCUGUCACUUAUAGAUGGAUCCGCGCCGCAUUAGCUAGUUGGUAAGGUAACGGCUUACCAAGGCAACGAUGCGUAGCCGACCUGAGAGGGUGAUCGGCCACACUGGAACUGAGACACGGUCCAGACUCCUACGGGAGGCAGCAGUAGGGAAUCUUCCGCAAUGGGCGAAAGCCUGACGGAGCAACGCCGCGUGAGUGAUGAAGGUCUUCGGAUCGUAAAACUCUGUUAUUAGGGAAGAACAAAUGUGUAAGUAACUAUGCACGUCUUGACGGUACCUAAUCAGAAAGCCACGGCUAACUACGUG
rnacentral:rRNA from 1 species